rnacentral:rRNA from 1 species
CAGUCGCCACGGGAAUACGAAGGGGGCUAGCGUUGUUCGGAUUUACUGGGCGUAAAGCGCACGUAGGCGGAUCCUUAAGUCAGAGGUGAAAUCCCAAGGCUCAACCUUGGAACUGCCUUUGAUACUGGGGAUCUCGAGUUCGGGAGAGGUGAGUGGAACUGCGAGUGUAGAGGUGAAAUUCGUAGAUAUUCGCAAGAACACCAGUGGCGAAGGCGGCUCACUGGCCCGAUACUGACGCUGAGGUGCGAAAGCGUGGGGAGCAAACAGGAUUAGAUACCCGUGUAGUCCCUGUCUCUUAUAC